UAUACCGGUUUAUUCUGGACCCGUAGGUGCCGAGUCUGGUAGUUGGGAAGGCCUGGUGUCGCUGCUGGUAACAUUGUUUCAUUUCCUCAAUUACUGUGGAUAUCAAGGACAUUCAGCAUUGCGUCAUGUAUAAAAGUUAAUACAUAGGUCGCCCGUGGUUCAUUCCCGACGUACAUGUAGCUCUGUGCACAGACGGACGAAGAGGCAACACAGCCGGCUGGCAAAGUGAAUUGUAAAAGACAUAUUGUUGAAGUUCAAAAGAAGAUACUGACACUGUUUACCACAAUGUUUACCAGAUAUUGGUCAUGGUGUUUUCUGCUUACAAUGGCUGUCUUCUGUACUGGAGAUCAGUCAUGUGGCUGUCAAGGCGAAUAUGACUGGAGCGCCUGCACCGCUUCUUGUGGUGGUGGCCUGCAGACUAGAAGAUGUAGUGACACCAGCAUCGUCACGCGGGUGUGCAACUCUCAAGCUUGUGCAAGAGUACCGGAACCUCUUGGAUUCUGGCCGCUACAGAACUC